AUGUUGGUCUUGAGCGCGUCGCCGGCCACCGUCAUGAGCUCCCGCGCCAACGACACGCCCACCUUGCCCACGUCGUCCUCGCGCUGGUACACGCACUUGAAGCACUCGUCCGUGGCGCCCUUGUGCGUCCGGACCGUGUGGAGGAGGCGGUACUUGGCGCGCCCGGCGUCCGCGCCCCGGUUCGAGAGCAGAGCCGCCGCGCCGCCCAUGCGGAAGAUGCAGUUGGAGAGCAGCAUGGAGCGGUCGUUCCCGAAGUACCAGUUGAGGGUGAUGUUCUCGGUGCUGAGCACAACCGCGUACGAGUUGGGGUUGGCCUGGAGCAUGUCCUUGGCGAGGUCGAUGGCGAUGAGGCCGGCGCUGCACCCCAUGCCGCCCAGGUUGAACGACUUGACGUCCUCGCGCAUCUUGUAA
rnacentral:rRNA from 1 species